rfam:Botryotinia fuckeliana BcDW1 unplaced genomic scaffold Scaffold_76, whole genome shotgun sequence.
CUUCAUUAAAUUGUUGAGGGCAGAUGAAGUGAAUAUGAGUAUCGAAGCCACCGGCAGUAAUGAUUUUGCCUUCCCCAGCAAUGACAUCUGUACAUGAUCCAACGAUCAUGUUUGGACUAACGCCAUCCAUCACAUCUGGAUUGCCAGCUUUACCAAUACCUACUAUUGUACCGUUUUUGACACCAAUAUCGGCUUUGUAAAUACCAGUCCAAUCAACAAUCAAAGCAUUAACAAUAACGAGAUCCAGUGAUAUAUCGUCAGAUACGCCUGUGGCCUGGCCCAUACCUUCUCGUAAA